rnacentral:rRNA from 1 species
UAAAAAUUAAAGUUAUUUUUUGUUAGUGAAGAAACUACAAUAAAAAUUAAGGACAAGAAGACCCUAAGAAUUUUUAAUAAUUUUGUUAUAAUAAAUAAUAAAAAUUAUUUUAAUUGGGGCGAUUAACAAAAAUAAAAAACUUUGUUUUUUUAAAAAAGAACCACUAUUAUUGGUCUUAUGAAAAAAAUACUCUAGGGAUAACAGCGUAAUAAUUUUUAAUAGUUCAUAUAGACAAAAUAGUUUGCGACCUCGAUGUUGGAUUAGGAUUCUUAACUAAUGAAGAAGUUAGUUAAAGAAGUUUGUUCAACUUUUAAAUUCCUACUUG